CCCUCAUUUAUUCCCCCUCUUGCCCCACUUAAUCCCUUCAAUUUCUGAACAUAAUUCUUUUUUUUAUUCUUCUCUUUUCUCAUUUAUUUCUUCUCUUUCUUCUUAUCACAACCAAACGAAUUACCACAAUCAUUCUCUCUUCUUCUUCAUUCUCUGUGCAUCUGCUUCGUCUUCUUCAUUCGACCAACCGCUAGUUAUCUCUCCUUCUUUACACUUUUCCUCUCACGCAUUUGCCCAAAUCUAUUUCCCCAAAAUUGAUUUCUUUCUCAACCCAUUUCCCUAGAUCUUACGGUUUUUUUACCAUCUUCGACGCUCACCUAGCUUUUCUCUACCGUUUAACAUAAUCUUUUUCACGGUACUUUCAUCUACACCGAUGUCUUAAACCUUACAUUUUUUUCUCUGUUGUCUGUCAGUCUCCGUUGUCCCCGUGGGUGUCGGUUUCAUUGACGAGCCACGUUUAGAAAUAAACGAUGGCCUCUGAUACCUUAUCUCCGGUCGGGCGUUUAUUGACUUUGUGGUUGCUUCCUUGCAUGGCCUGUCCUAGGGACUUGCCGCUCGAAGGUUAUUCAUUGUAUUUUCCUUGCCACUCGAUUAACCCUCUUGUCAUGACGACCUUCCCUCCACUAACAAGUGACAGAUACUAAUUGAGGGUUGUGGCUUCGGUGGUUCCAAGCUAGGUAAGGACUAAGUGUGCUCCAGUACGUAGAUUACUAUUUCGAGGUACUAGAAAAUCUACAUAUUCAACAAACGUAGGUCAUUCUCUAUUGCAUGUAUAUGUAUUAUGUUUAAUACGUACCAUGUAAGAAAACUUCAUAUAACUCUUUUUAUAAUGGGACAUUCGUUUGACAUGGCAUAAACCGAAGUUUUGUGGAAAGUAAUUAUUUUUCUUUGUUAGGAUGUAUUUGAUAUUUUAGUUUCUAAUAAUUAUCAAGUUUCACA